rnacentral:rRNA from 1 species
AUCGAACGCUGGCGGCAGGCCUAACACAUGCAAGUCGAACGAGUGGCGGACGGGUGAGUAAUGUCUGGGAAACUGCCUGACGGAGGGGGAUAACUACUGGAAACGGUAGCUAAUACCGCAUACCAUCGGAUGUGCCCAGAGGGGAUGAGCUAGUAGGUGGGGUAAAGGCUCACCUAGGCGACGAUCCCUAGCGGGUCUGAGAGGAAGACCAGCCACACUGUAACUGAGCCACGGUCCAGACUCCUACGGGAGGCAGCAGUGGGGAAUAUUGCACAAUGGGCGCAAGCCUGAUGCAGCCAUGCCGCGUGUAUGAAGAAGGCCUUCGGAUUGUAAAGUACUUUCAUCGGGGAGGCGUUACCCACAGAGAAAGCACCGGCUAACUCCGGGCCAGCAGCCGCGGUAAUUC